rnacentral:snoRNA from 13 species
CGCAAGCGCACUCUGUGUCGCAUUCGAAAACCUCAUGUGAUUACAAUUUGUAAGUUUGCCAGAGUAAGGUGUAGCUUCUUAUCCAUAUGAUUAGAUUCCUAACAUGAUAAUCAUUUUGACGAAGUCUACGACAACUUUAU